CGGAGGAAAAGAAACCAACAGGGAUUGCCCUAGUAACGGCGAGUGAAGCGGCAACAGCUCAAAUUUGAAAUCUGGCGCAAGCCCGAGUUGUAAUUUGUAGAGGAUGCUUCUAGGUAGCGACCGGUCUAAGUUCCUUGGAACAGGACGUCAUAGAGGGUGAGAAUCCCGUAUGUGACCGGCCCGCACCUUCUACGUAGCUCCUUCGACGAGUCGAGUUGUUUGGGAAUGCAGCUCUAAAUGGGAGGUAAAUUUCUUCUAAAGCUAAAUACCGGCCAGAGACCGAUAGCGCACAAGUAGAGUGAUCGAAAGAUGAAAAGCACUUUGGAAAGAGAGUUAAAAAGCACGUGAAAUUGUUGAAAGGGAAGCGCUCACAACCAGACUUCUGGGCGGUGUUCCGCCGGUCUUCUGACCGGUCUACUCACCGUCCCGAGGCCAACAUCAUCUGGGACCGCUGGAUAAGACCUUAGGAAUGUAGCUUCCCUCGGGAAGUGUUAUAGCCUGUGGUGAUGUGGCGCGUCCCGGGUGAGGUCCGCGCUUCGGCAAGGAUGUUGGCGUAAUGGUGGUCAGCGGCCCGUCUUGAAACACGGACCAAGGAGUCUAACAUCUAUGCGAGUGUUCGGGUGUCAAACCCCUACGCGUAAUGAAAGUGAACGGAGGUGGGAAGCGCAAGCUGCACCAUCGACCGAUCCUGAUGUCCUCGGAUGGAUUUGAGUAAGAGCAUAGCUGUUGGGACCCGAAAGAUGGUGAACUAUGCCUGAAUAGGGUGAAGCCAGAGGAAACUCUGGUGGAGGCUCGCAGCGGUUCUGACGUGCAAAUCGAUCGUCAAAUUUGGGUAUAGGGGCGAAAGA
rnacentral:rRNA from 1 species